ACGGGAGGCAGCGGCUAAGAAUAUUCUGCAAUGGACGAAAGUCUGACGGAGCGACGCCGCGUGGAUGAAGAAGGCCGGAAGGUUGUAAAAUCCUUUUAAGCAUGAAGAAUAAGCGGGAGCAGGGAAAGCUUCCGUGGUGACGGUAGUGCUUGAAUAAGCAACGGCUAAUUACGUGCCAGCAGCCGCGGUAACACGUAAGUUGCGAGCGUUGUUCGGAAUUAUUGGGCGUAAAGGGCAUGUAGGCGGUUUUGCAAGCUUGGUGUGAAAGGCAGGAGUUGAACGCCUGGACUGCGUUGAGAACUGCAAGACUUGAGUCACUGAGGGGCAAUCAGAAUUCCUGGUGUAGGGGUGAAAUCUGUAGAUAUCAGGAAGAAUACCAAUGGCGAAGGCAGGUUACCAGCAGAUGACUGACGCUGAGGUGCGAAGGUGUGGGGAGCAAACAGGAUUAGAUACCCUGGUA
rnacentral:rRNA from 1 species